CAGAGAUGUUAUAGUUGGUGGAUAUGCUACCCUUAGAACAAAGGGGACACCAGGAGCCCAUAAGUCAGCAGGGUCCCAAGCUGAGCUUACCUUCCUUCGAUAUCUGGAUUCUUAGAAGGAGAAGAAACCUCAGGGGAAUUUUCAACCAAGACCCAGAAAGAGAGUGGGAUCCUACUUACUAUUGCAUUACUCACUGGCAAAAGGACCAUUUAAUUUUCAGCUGAGCCCUCCUGCCCCCAUCUGCUUGGAGAGAAGACACAUUCUUAUUCCCCACCUUUUCUCCAUACAUAAAUGCAUAACACAACUGGCCUUGAUCUAUUCCCAUGUGAAUUUAGCUUAUGUGGGCAACUGUGUCCUGAGGCACAUAGAGCCAACUGUGUGACUGCGUGGGAUGAAAAGCCAUCUUGUUGUAUCUGCUGUUUUCUUUCCGAGAAAAAAUGUUCUCUUCAAAGGGAGCUGCACAUUUCACAGUCAUGCAUGGGUUCAGUGUGUCUUACCAGUCACAGCAGCACACACAUUGGCAGCCAGUGUAUUCAGAAACCCCUUAGGAGAUCUUGAUGGGGACAGUCAGUUGAAGGAAGUUCCUCUUUCCCAUGGGAAUGGAUGUACAAUGCAAGCAGCACCACCACAGAACAGCUAAGCCGUCUUCUUCAAACUAGGAAACAGCUAGAGCAUUGUCAUCCUGACAGUCCCAGAGGUGCUGGCAACAUCUACCCAGAGAUACCCACA